rnacentral:rRNA from 1 species
GAUGAACGCUGGCGGCGUGCCUAAUACAUGCAAGUCGAGCGAACAGACGAGGAGCUUGCUCCUCUGACGUUAGCGGCGGACGGGUGAGUAACACGUGGAUAACCUACCUAUAAGACUGGGAUAACUUCGGGAAACCGGAGCUAAUACCGGAUAAUAUAUUGAACCGCAUGGUUCAAUAGUGAAAGACGGUUUUGCUGUCACUUAUAGAUGGAUCCGCGCCGCAUUAGCUAGUUGGUAAGGUAACGGCUUACCAAGGCAACGAUGCGUAGCCGACCUGAGAGGGUGAUCGGCCACACUGGAACUGAGACACGGUCCAGACUCCUACGGGAGGCAGCAGUAGGGAAUCUUCCGCAAUGGGCGAAAGCCUGACGGAGCAACGCCGCGUGGGUGAUGAAGGUCUUCGGGUCGUAAAACUCUGUUAUUAGGGAAGAACAAAUGUGUAAGUAACUAUGCACGUCUUGACGGUACCUAAUCAGAAAGCCACGGCUAACUACGUG